GGGGUUGUGGCUCAGUGGUAGAGUGGUCACCUAGCAUGUGAGAGGCCCUGGGUUCAAAUCCUCAGCACCG
rnacentral:tRNA from 1 species